rnacentral:lncRNA from 1 species
GCUCUCCAAGAACAGGCACAGCCUGGUUAAAAUCCCUCACUUUCGCCACUAUUACAAGAACCUUAUACGAUGAUUCCACCACCCCUUUGCUUUCCAAGAUGCCUCAUGAUGUUGUGCCUUUCAUGGAGUUCGAUCAUGCCCAGUUUUCCACUAAUCGACAUCUUGGAAUUCCUCUUUUAGCCACUCAUCUUCCUUAUUCUCUCUUACCCAGAUCUAUAAUUGAUUCCGGUUGUAAACUUAUUUACAUUUGCAGGGACCCCAAAGAUACAUUUGUUUCAUUGUAUCAUUUCGCUGCUAGGUACUCCAAAUCCCAAAAUACUCAACCUAUUCAACUUGAUGAAGCGUUUGAGUUGUUUUAUGAAGGUGUAAGUCCGUAUGGUCCUUAUUGGGAUCAUGUUUUGGGGUAUUGGAAAGCAAGUUUGGAACAUCCAGACAAGUUAAUGUUCUUGAAAUAUGAAGAAUUGGUUGAAGAUACUGUUUUGUAUCUUAAGAAAAUAGCAGCGUAUAUGGGUUAUCCUUUCUCGUCAGAGGAACAACAACAAUGGGUGCCUGAAAACAUUGUGAAGAUGUGCAGUUUCGAGAAUUUAAGUGGCUUGGAAGUAAAUAAAACCGGGAGACAUCGUGAAGGGCAAGGAAAUUUGGGGCUAGAAAAUAACAUUUAUUUUCGGAAAGGGAAGCCUGGAGACUGGAAGAAUUAUUUGACCACUGAAAUGGCUCAACGUUUAGACCAGCGAACAAUGCAAAAAUUGAGUGGUUCAGGUUUAAGUUUGUAAUUGAAGGUUGAUAAUCUAGGGUUUGUAAUUAUCCCUUUUAAUAAUAAUAUUUUCAAUUAAGGUUAUCUUACUUAGGAUUUGUAAUUAUCCCUUUUAGCAAUAUUAAUGGGUAUUGAUCUAUUGUAUUAUUUAUUGAAUCUUUAGUUGGAGUUCGUUAGUAGAACUUUAUCCGUUAAAUGACCAUUCCUUAAAUCUUUAGUUGGAGCUCGUUGGUAAAAUUUUAUCAAUUAAAUAAUUUAAAUAAAUAAAAUUUUUUUAAAUAGUUUAAUAAUUUAAAUAAAAUUUUUUAAAUAAUUCAAUAAUUAUUUUUCAAUUAGACCUAACCAGGGUUGGGUCUGAUAAGAGAUAAAGAUUUUCUCAUAAAAUGAUUCUAUAAAGACAAAUAAUGUGUCUUUUUAGGUGUAUUGGUGUAAUUUUGGUCAAUUUUCUUUUAGCCCCUAUAUUAUGUGUAAGUUGCAUAUUUAAUCCCUGUAGUUUAACCUAGUUCAUUUUAGUAUGUGGUUUUUGAAUUUUAAAAUUUUAGUUUUAGCUCAAAUUAUACCAGUUAAAUUUAUUAUGUUAAAUUCUAUUCGCAGUCUCAUAUUAUCUAUAAGUUGUUGAUUUAAUCUUUGUUCUUCAAUUACAUUAUUUUUGGUCUCUACAUUUCUUGAAUUUUGAAAUUUCAGUUUAAUAGUUGUUCGUGGCGGAUCGUGAGAUUAAGCUUUUUGGGGAGGCUACUUAAAAAUUCCAAAAAAAAAAUUAAGAGUUUAAUAAGAUUUUUUUUAAAAUGGGGUCUAAUUAAAUUUUUUUUAGAAAAAUAUACAAUGAGUUUAAUGAGAAGUUCUAGAAAUUUUAGGAGAGUGUAAUUGAAAUUUUUUAAAAAUAAAAUAAAACGCAUAAUGAGAUUUUUUUAAAAAAACUUAGGGACCUAAUUAAAAUUUUCAAAAAAAGUAGUUUAAUAAGAAUUAAAAAAAAUUGGGUUCUAGUUAAAUUUAUUAAAAAUUAUGUGAGACUAAUAAGAUUUUACAGAAAUUUUAAGAGAGUUUAAUUAAAAUCUUUAAAAUAGAUUAAAGGUAUAGUGAGAAUUUUCAAAAAUUUAAGCGACUUGAUUAAUUUUUUUUUUAAAAUUAGGGACUAAUGAAAUAUUUCAAAAUUUUGAGGGUGGGGCAAAGGCUCCCCACCAUUACCAUUCGUCACUAGUGGAGGUUACACUUAUUAACUAAAAUAAAAUAACUCUGGCUCUAUCUUAGAGCAUGAUAUACUCUUUCCUCUGUUGGUGUUUUUGUGUUUUGGCUUGACUGUGGGUGUGCUUUAUGUCCUUUCAUUUACCCAUAAGCCGCCGAGAGUUUAUUGCAUAUUUUUAUGUAUUUUUUGUGUGUUCCAGUUGGGGUGAGCAGUGACUUUCUUGCUUUGCUCUCUUUUUAUAAUUACUUUUUUAACUUUGAAUUAAAGCUCUCGAUAUUAGUAGAUUUGUUCAUGAAUCGGGCUACUUAGUCCGGCCUGAAAGACCGCCUAAAAUGUUGGAGGGUUUGGACAAAAAUAUAGCCCUGAAAAAUAGGCUUGGACAAAAAAAUAAGGCUCGUUUAAAAAAUGAGCCGGGUCUCGGGUAAAGUAUUUUUGGCCCGGGCCCGGCCCGAAUUCACUAAAUGACAAAAAAAUCUACUUUUUUUUUAAUGUUAUUUUCUUAUUGUUUUCUCUCUAUUUUGCUACCAUAUUACUAUUAUGUUACUAUUAUUUUGUUGUUAUUGUUUGAAUAUUGUAUAAAACUUAUUUUAUUAUUAAUUUGUUAUUAUUUUAAAGGCAUUUUGUUAAUUUUGUUAUUAUUUUAGAGGUAUUUGCUUGUUAAGUUGCAUCUAUCUUAGUACUAUUUAAGUCUACAUAAUUUUUAAAAAUUUAUUUUCAAUUUGUUAGAAAAUAUUUUUUUUGAUUUUAUUAGUAUUUUUGAUGUAUUAUAUAUAUUUAAAAAUUAUAUAAAAUAAUAUAAAAAAAUUAAUACGGGCGGGUCGGGCUUGGGCAAAAUUUUAGGCCCUUUUUUGGGCUCGGCUCGGCCUGAGCCCAAUGAAUAGCUUAAAUUUUUAGUUGAGCCCGACUCGGCCUGGCCCAUGAGCACCUCUAGGUAUUACUCUAAAAAAAAAUUUAAAUGAAAUUUCUCGAAUAAUGUCAUUUUUCGAUCAGAUCUUGUGGAUUGGGUCUGGUAAGAGGUAGGAUCAGCUUACUAAUUGACCAAUAAUUUUGUGCCAUAUCACCAUCAUUACACAAAAAUUAACAAUUUUAUCCUAAACAAAUAUUUCUCAUAAAAUGAUUCUACAAACACAAAUAACGUGUACUUUUAGGUGUAUUGGUGUAAUUUUGGUCAAUUUUCUUUUAGCCUCUAUAUUAUGUGUAAAUUGCAUAUUUAAUCCCUAUAGUUUUACCUAGUUCAUUUUUGUACGUGGUUUUUGAAUUUUAAAAUUUUAGUUUUAGCUCAAAUUAUACCAGUUAAAUACGUUGGACAAAAUACGCUAGCGAACAAAAUAUAUAAAUAUAAAUAAACAAAUAUUUUUAUAUAAAAUAAAAUAUAAAUAGAAUAAUUUAUAUUUAAAUUGUUAAAUACGAAAACGGAUAAAAAUCGUAACAAAAAGUUAAAAUCGAAAAGAAAUGUUGAGGCCUGUUUAAUAUAGUUUCUUUAAGACAAAUUCAGCAACUCCUAUGGUACUUGGAGAAACAUUGUUCGAAUGUCUCUCAGGAUAGAACAACACAAUGAUCAAAACAGUAGCACCUCUACAGCGAUCAAAGAACAAACGUUGCCUUUUUCUAUCACUGGAACGUUAGAAAAUAUGGAGAAGAAAAGAAGAAUUAAGAGAAAAUAAUCUCAGUGUGAGAGAGUGGAAAUUAAGCAAAAAAUUCUGAAGAAGUCUUAGCCUUCUAUAGGCAUUCAAAGUGGAUAAACUUUUUUGGGCUAGACAUUUCGCGUCGCCCACAUCAUGCGGGUGCACCCCAACCUCAACGGGUUUGGACUUACACCCCCCUUGCGCGUGAGGCAAGAUUUUAAGCUUAGUCAUUCAAUCACUAUUUAAGAGGGUUCUCAUAUAUAUACAUAUAUCACAUUUGGUAUUUAAUCAAUGUAGGAUUUAAGCUUUUCUUUCCAUCAACAAAUAUUUCCAAGUAGCUUACUUUGAGCAUCAAUUUCUCAUUCUUCACUCAACCAUUUGGAGCAUAUAAUAUACCGUUGUAAAUGUCUCAUGGAGUAGAAUAUGAAACAAUAAUUUUAUGAUUCAACUCUCCACCUUUACCUAUUGAGAAUAUGCCUCAAAGUUCCUAUAAAUUACAAUUUUUCUAACAAAAUUUGUUACGUUAUUUUCUAUUAGUAGCCUUAUAUUAUCCAUAAGUUGUUGAUUUAAUCUUCGUUCUUCAAUUACAUUAUUUUUAGCCUCUAUACUUCUUAAAAUUUGAAAUUUUAGUUUACUAGUUGUUAGUGGCGAAUCGUGGGAUUAAGUUUUUUUUUUUGGAGGCAACUUAAAAUUUUCAAAAAAAAUUAGAAGUUUAAUAAGAUUUUUUAAAAUGGGGUCUAAUUAAUUAUUUUUUAAAUAUUGUGAGUUUAAUGAGAAUUUCUAGAAAUUUUAAGAGAGUGUAAUUGAGUACUUUUAAUGCUUCUAUUUUGUUGUUCAAAUUUCCAUGUUAAAAUCCAGCUCAUUUAAAUUUUGACUUGACAACUUGAAUAGGAUUAAAAUCAUGGGCCUCAUAACUUUCCUUUCUUUUAUUUAUUUGUUUCUUUUUCUUUUAACGUUGAAUGCUCCUAUUUUUUUUAUUUUAUUUUAUUUUUUCUCUUCUACUCCUUAAUUGAAAACCCUAGCUAACAUACUCAAUAGCCAUCGAUUUCGGUGUUUAUGGUAGUCUUUCGUACCGAUUUCGACAUCAAAGAAGAGAUUUUCUCUUUCUCAUUGACUUCUACAGUUCAAAUCUCCCAGUAGCCUGCUCCAAAUCUUCUAAAAUAAUAACCAAAACUUCGAACUACUCUUUCUUCGAUCUCUAUUUUGCACUGUCGACUCAUCACCAGUCGGAGAUAUGUUGUUCCCCGUAGUUAAACACACCACCUCACUGUUCAGAUCAUUGAAUGAAGUCAUGGAGCUUUGAACCCAAACAGAGUCAUGGACUUCCACCCCUAACACCCUUUUUUUUUUUCAUUUCAGACCACUUUUUUUAAUUAUAUCAAUGCCUCCUGACACACCGACGACACCAUUAAAAAAUAUUUUUUUGUUCUCUAGUAUACCAGUAUUUUAUCGGAUAUUUUUGAAAAAAUACAUACCGAUGCCACCUAACAUAGUGGCGGUACCAAAAAAAUUUAUUAUUUUUUUAAAAACUCAUGAUUGCUUGAUGUUUUUUUAAAUAAACCGUCCAUUUUCGUAAAUAAUUUUCUCUUGACCCAAUUUCGUAACUACUUUUUUAUAUUAUUUUUGUAAAUAAACCGUUAAUUGGACACUUAAUUGUAUUAUUUUAGGCUUUUUUACCCCAAUAAUACAAAAAAAAAUUAAUAACUUAAAUGGUAUGCCCACCAAAUUAUUUACCAAAAUGGUAUGGCUUGAAUAGUAACCCCAGGUGGUGCUUGGGAAGGUGGCGACACCACCCAACUUUAUCCCUAAAAUCACGACGGCAUCAUUAGGCCAUUAUAAGGUUAUAAAAAAUAAAUAUUUUAUUGAUGGUGUCACCUUAUACGGCGGCAUCAAUAUGAAGAACAAUUGGGUAAAAUACGGGGAAUAUACGUGUUUUAAAAAAUUGUUUUUAAUGAGUGGAGGGGGAAAGUCGGGCAACACCAUUGUUUGUACAAAAAAUAGUAACUCGGGACUGAGAAGCAUGAAAAAUGAAAGUCAAAAAGGGAGGUUUUAGGCCUAAGAAAGAAUAAAAAGGGGUGACCCCGUGAUUCCGUGAUUGUCUGGUCAUGUUCACCAUUGUUUCUAUUUGCUUCUCAAGUGAAUGUCAGCCAUGGAUUUAACUUUCGAACUUUUCUGAUUACAGUCUUUACAAUAACAUACAUCAUCCAAGCAAAUUGGCUGUGGGAGCUGACUUCCAUUGUUUCAAACAUAAAAUCGAGCCCAAGUGAGAAGACCCUGUCUGUGCUAACGGAGGCAAGUGGACUGUAAAUUUCCAGGUUGUUGAAAUUAUUAAGGCAUGUUUUAGUUCAAAAUUCUAAUCAAUAAUAGUUUAUCAUGAUGAUUUUAGAAAAAUUAAUCUUUUGGGGCUCCGAUUUUGAUUAGAUUUAAUUGCUGGUUUUCCUUUUGUAAAAAAUUUUGGAUCAUUUUACUUACUUUACAUUUGCCAUCUAGUUUACUGCCUUAUGUUUUCUGUUAUAAGCUGGCAUCCAGUUUGCCAUGUUUUCUUAUUAAAUUAUUUUGGUCCUUCACAAAUCAAAGACAAUAUAGCAGCCAUACACUAAGUAAAUAUAAUGUUGAGUAAAAUAGAACCAAAUUCAUAAAUUGAAGUGGGAUUUGGAUUAAAUUUUAUUUUUUAAUUAAAAAAUUAGAAAUUAAUGAUGAUACGUUAGAUUAAAUAACAAACUUAUCUUUUUGUAAAAAUUUACUAAAGGAAUCUAAAUAUAAUGUUUUCACGUGUCCUGCCAUCACCAUUUCCGUUAAUUACAGCAUCAACUAUUGCAUAGGAUUCUAAGGACCCAAAUAUAAUAAAUAAUUAAAUUACAUAAUUUUGAGAACACACAAAAUGCCAAUAAUGUUACAUAAUUAAAUUACAAACUUACAUAAUUUACAUAAUUUACAUAACAUACAUAACUUAACAACUUACAUAAUUCACAUAACUUAUAUAAUUUACAUAACUCACAUAACAUACAUAACUUAACAACUUAUAUAACUCACAUAACUUACAUAAUUUACAUAACUCACAUAACAUACAUAACUUAACAACUUACAUAACUUACAUAACUUACAUAAUUUACAUAAGUCACAUAACAUACAUAACAACUCACAUAACUUACAUAACUUAACUAAUACAUGUAGUUUAAUCUAAUAAUUUCCUUAAAAGCAUAUAGCUUAAAGUUCAAAUUUCAUAACUUACAUAAUCUACAUAACUUACAUAAAACAUAAAUAUAUAUCAUAUCAAAACCUACAUAAUAAACAACUUACCUGUGUAAUUUAUUGUCAACUUUAGACUUCAACAACUACGAAAUGGAUAGGACUUGGAUGAAUUUGUCAAGGGCAAGCAACAGCUAUCGAAAUAGAGUACAAACUUUUCCAAAUUUUGCAUUUCAAAAUGCAAGCAGAGAAUAUGAUUCUUUGCCCGUGUAAGAAGUGUGGCAAUAUCAAUUGGAAUUAAAAACGAUCAAUUUGGUUUUACAAUGGUGAAUUUCUCUCGAUUGAUUCACACUGGAGAACAAUUGAUAGACGAGCCAUAUAUGUUUUCUUCUCAAGUGAAACAAGUUUUUUACUCGAAAGAUCCAACUGAUGAGGGUUGGUACGCUGUACCCCGAAACACCUGUAGAGACUUGUUUGACAUGGGCAAUGAAAAUAGAGAUGACAUCGUCAAAAGAUCAGAAACUUUACCUUUUUCAGAACAAAACUUAAAUGAAAAUAUCUCUAGUACUAGUACACAAUUUCAAUGGGUUCGUCAGGAUGUGGAGGAAGAUAUUUACGAAUUAUGAUGUAAGAUUUUACGAUUUUUUAUUUAUAUGUAAUAUUAUAAUUUUAAUCUUGGUCAUGUUAUAUAAUUUAACUAUUUUAUAUGUACUAUUAUUGUUGUUAUUUGUUACUAAAAUUUUAACUAUUUUAUGUGUGUUGUAGGAAAAAUGCGUAGAAGAAGAUUAAAAGAUUUAAGUAUUGUCCAGAAUACUCCAAAUUUGAAAGAAGGAAAUAGUGAACAGCAGACAGUUAUUGGAUCUUCGAAUGUGCCGGAGACACUUGAUGAGCCUGCAGAAUUUCAAAGUAAUGUUAAGUUUAUUUUACAUGAGUGUUGACUUUUAUUAUUGAUUUAUUUUUCAAUUUUAAUAUAAUAAUAUAUCAUUUUUCAGCUGAAAGUGGUGGGACGCGCAGAGGUCGAGGACGUACGCUACUUAAAGAUUUAUACGACUUAAAUCCUGUAGAGCGUGUCAAAGUAAGUAGAAACAGUCAUGGUCAGCCUGUUGGAUCUGAAGCUCGACUUUUAGCAGGCUAUUUGGGCAUUGUAGCACGAAAUACCAAUAUGUUGCCCAUCAACUAUGAAUCAUGGCAUAACAUGCUUGAUAGCAACAAAAAUCAAGCUCUCGAUAAUAUUAAGGUAACAAAACGUGAAUGUAAUUUAUAUUACUUUGGUUUAAGUUUCAUUUAUAUUUACUUUCUAAACUUGUGUUUUUUUAGGAGAGAUUUGCUUUAGAGGUCUCGAAUGACUAUAUCAAGUAGGCAUUGGGUAAAAAAUGGAGAGACCAUAAAAGCACUUUGAAAAAAGAAUAUUUUAAGAAAUACAUAAGCCUCGAAGAUAAAUUACGAAAUGUCCCGCCGGGAAUGCUGAGGUACCAAUGGGAAGAUGCAGUUAGAUGCUGGAAUUCAAAGAAAGGAGAGGUAUUACGUACUUCCAAACUCUUAUAAAUUUUUUAGUUUAUAGUAUUUACUAUAUACGUAAUAAUAAUUUCAUUGUGUAGGACUGUGAGCGAGUUGGAACAAGCAGCAGGCAAAAACAAAAAUUCACGCACACGGUUGGGUCGAGAAGUUUUGCUUGUGUAGUUGAGGCCGAGGUAUUAUGAAUUUAUUAAUUCUGUCAAAUAUUAAUGACUUUCUACUAUUAAAUAAUAUCUUUACUACUAUAUUGUAGGAAGUCUCGUCUGGUCAAAAAGUUGGACGCCUUCAGCUUUUUGACAUUACGCAUAGGAAGAAAGAUGGAUCUCCAAUGACAUCCGAAGCUGGAGAAAUUAUGGUAUAUUUACUUAAUAAAAUUUGAUUAAAUAUUAAUAUUUAUAAUUUUUAAUUAUAAUGAUUUAAUUCGUCAUUAGUAGUUUUAAAUAAUGUUAAGUUAUGUUAUGUUGCAUUCCUUUUUAUUAUAUAUUUCGUUUCUAACUCUUUGAUUAAUUUAUUAGAAUAAACAAAAUGAGAAGAAGGUGGAGUAUGAAGCGAUUGCUUUGACUGAUAGUUUUGUUAAUCUUGAGGACAUAGAUAACAUAAUUAUUACUGAAGUUUUGGGUCUUGAAAGGUAUGGUCGGGUUCGAUUUCGAGGAUCUGGUGUUACCCUGAUCCAAUAUUUUGGAUUCAGCUCCCAGCAAUACAUGCCUUCUGGGAGUCAAGCUCAAGCUAAAGUUCAGAGGUUAAGAGACCAGAUAGCUCAGAUGCAAGCGAGCACAGUUGAACAAAUUGCUAAGGUUCAAAGAAAAUAUGAAGAACUCCAACAACCUAUAGCGAAUGCAGCAACGAGAAAGGCAGCGGCGACAGCGAGGGAGGCAGAGGCAGCAACGAUGGCAACAGAGCAGAGCAGAAAGUACGAUGAGCUCCAGCUACAGCUUCAGCAUACGAUGAAGAUGUUCCAGCAGUCGCAAAAGCCGCCAUCUUAGACCUUUGUUUUCUCGUUGUAAGAAUAUUUUUAACAUUGUCACAUUUAACAUUAUUGUAAGAAUAUUUGAGUUAUACUUCAUUUAUUAAUUUACACUUUAUUUAUUAAUUUACAUCAUAUAUAUUUCGUUGAAUUUGAGGGAUCAUUUAAAUUUAAUGUUUUUGGCUAGAUUUUUAUGCUACAUUUGCUGUUUUUGGUUGGAUUUAAUGCAGGAAGGGUUAGAUAUUGGUGAAAAAGGUCACCUGCAAAUUUGUAAAAAUUAACGGAAUUUGUAGAAAAAGCACCGCUAAAGGUCAUAACUUUUAACGGCGUUUGUGGAUAAAGCGCCGUUAAAAGUCGUGAUCUUUAUCGGCGUUUGUGGAUAAAACGCCGCUAAAAGUUUUGUGGAUAAAGCGUCGCUAAAAGUUGUGAUCUUUAGCAGCGUUUUCAGAAAAAGCGCCGCUAAAAAUCAUGAUGUUUAACAGCGUUUUCCUGGCCACAAAUUUUAGUGGCAUAGUCUUUAGCGGCAUUUUUUGCGGCGCUUAAAAAUGCUGCUAAAGGCCUAAAAAUGCAGCUAAAAAUUUGUUUUGCUGUAGUGUGUCCCUAUUUUUUUAUUCCCCUUAACCCACUAUAUAUAACAUGGUAAGCUAUCGAGUUUAUAAAACAGACAUUUUAAAUCACUUGUUUAUUUUUUAUUGAAAAAAACUUAGUCUAUUUCUGAAAAACUUAAGAGUUAAAAGAAAACCAUUUAAAUUAGCAAACUUAUGUACAUAAGUUUACCUUGUUAGAAAAACGGUUUGAAAAAUGGAAUGAAAAAUAAAUUUAGGGAAAAACCAAUGCUUUAAAAGUUUUCCAAAACAUAAGUUUGGUUGUGAUAUCUAAAGUAAUAAAUACUUAAUCAAAAUUGUACAUCUUCGAUUCGUUUAGGAUGAGCGCUACCAAGUAAUCUUCUCUGCUAUCCUCAAGCUCAUGUCUGUCGAGUGUGGGCUCGCUUCAAACAAAAAGAAAUUCCCAAAAAUUACCAGUGUGGUAAUUUCGUAAUUUCUCUAAACUUUUGGGUGAAGUUGUAAAUCAAAAAAAUAUCUCUAGAAAUUUUAUAGAAUAAUCUCCUCGGAGAAUUUUCUCUCUAAAACUUUUCUCUUGAAUUCAAGUGUGUCAAAUUGUAACGCCCCAAAAAAUUUGAGUGUCUGGUUGUUGGAUUCUAUCGUAAUUAAAUUUUUAUCUCUAUGACUAUGUGCUCAAUUAAUGCAUUUGAGGUCAAUAGUUCAAGUCAUGUUUUAGGAGUUUUGCUAUUUUAAUUUAAACUAACCUCUAUUCCUGAGCUAUUGACUUAAAUUUAAUUUUGUGCGAAUUUAUGUUAAGAAUGAGCUUGUUUGUUCAAUGAUUAAACUUUUAUGUAUCCUUUGGUCUGGUGUUUGAGUCUCGGUAUAAGUGUUAGAGAAUAUUUUUUGCUAAAUAUCGGAAUUUGGAUUGGUGGUUAAAUUCAAAUAAUGCUAUACUUUUCCUCUAUUUCCCAUUUCCUUUCCUUUUGUUUUUCUUCUUUUUUUUUGUUUGUUUCUUUUCCUUUGAUUUCUUUUUAAAAUUUGAAACUUAUUUAAGAUUUGAAAUGAUAAAACAUCAGCGACAAACUUACAGCAUACAAGAUAGCAAAAAGCUCAAAUUGUGUUAGACUCCAGUCUGUUGAUUCAUUCGUCAUAAGCAAUGUUGUUGCUACCAUCAAUUCAAAACCAAAACGAUAGGAUAACACGGUGACAGAUCCCAAAACAAUAGGAUAACAAUUGGUGCCGCCUUUCCCACGGGCACUACCACCCAAACCCGUAUUUAACCCAUGUAAUCAUAUGGGAAAAAUAUUUUGGUGUCGCCUAUCAACAAGGCUGCACCAUUUAAAAAUUGUUUUUUUUUUAACUGUCAAUUGUUUAUGUCAAAAUUUAGGGGUGGUGCCACCUAUGCAUCACCCUCCACCACCCCAAACACCUCAUUUUCAUAAUUAAUUGGGGUGGUGUACCACUUUAGAUAUUUUUAUAUUAUAUAUGUAAAAAAAAAAAACUCGUCUAUCUCACUCCUUCCACCCCACCUGCCACAUUACAACUCCCCAUAAAUUUAUUUUGUAUUAAAUGACCGUAUAUGAUAUUUUUUUAUUAGAUUUUUUAUAAUUCGAGUGCCGUCUCUCUCACAUCCUCCACACUUAAAAAAUUCCUUUUACCCCAUAUAAUUUUGUAAUGAUGUUUCGAUGAUUAAGUCAAGAAAAAAAGUGGUGCCGCCUCCUCAAUGCCCUCCACACCCAUCACUUUUGCAAACAUAUCAUUUUGAUAAAUAAUAAUAUUGGCAUACCAUUAUGGUAUUUAAUUAUUUAUUUUAUAUUACCCAAGUAAAAAUGCCACAAUAUUGUUUUUUUUUUUUUAAGAAAAUGGCUCGAAAGCCACAACCUCAACUAACAAGAAUCAGUAAUUACAAUAUUGUGGAUAUCACUCAGAUAAUCCCAUUCAAAUGACAUAUUGCAAUUCUGAGCUAGAACUAUCCUACUAAGAUAAUAUGCGCCCUUAUUUCUAGACUGUCCGGCCCAUUUAACUACAUAAGUAAUUUAAUGAUUUUACCUUUUAAGUUAAUGGGUAAACUUUUAUUAAAACAAUGUAGUUUUAUAUUUUAACUCGAUAGUUUUUUUUUUAACUUUAACAAAGAUAAACAUUUAUCAAAAUAACGUAGUAACUCGAAUUAUGUAAUUUAUAUUUGAGUUAAACCGAAAAAUAUAAUUUUUUAUUCGAGUUGAUCAGAAUAACUCAAAUUAUUUAAUUCAAAAUUUAAAUCUUUUAUUAAAUUUUUUUAAUCAAAUCAAAUUUUACUCACUCUUAUAUAAUAAUAUAAAAAAAAUUUAAAAUUAAAUUCCUAUAUUCGCAAGGCCUUCAACUGAAGUUGGGCAGUACUAUCUGAGUCGAAAAUGAUAUUGCAUCGAGUGUACAAUUGAAUGGAUGUGUCGACCAGCUAUGCCCGGUCUUCAAGUCCCAACAAAUGCGUGUUAAGUAGGGAGAAUCAAUGGAGAAGAAUUCGGAAGCGUUCACACUGCCCAAUUUCUUUUUUGUUGAUUGGGCAAAUUGAGAUAAUGAUAUUUUUCUUUUUCUUUAUUACUUAUUUAAUUAUAUAUUAAAAAAUAUCAUUCCAUCCUACUGCCUCCUUAUAAAAGAAAGAGAAGAGUGGCAGCCUAUUUACAAAGCCAUCCUUGUAUAAUAUAGUAUUUUCACUCAUUGGCCUAUCCCUCAUGGAAUCCCAUAUUGAGAAACAAAAUGGAGAUGUGCUUCAAAAAUCUUUCAAAGAGCUGAUAUCUACUCUCCCUAAAGGGAAUUGUUGGGGUUUUCCUAUAGAUCUAUAUCAAUAUCAAGGUUUUUGGUUCGGCCCGGCUUUUCUACAAGGAGCAUUGUCAGCUCAACAACAAUUCCAGGCGCAACCCACUGAUAUCAUCCUUUGUAGCUCUCAAAGAACAGGCACAGCCUUGUUAAAAUCCCUCACUUUCGCCACUAUUACAAGAACCUCAUACGAUGAUUCCACCACCACUUUGCUUUCCAAGGGGCAUCAUGAUGUUGUGCCUUUCAUGGAGUUUGAUCAUGCCCAGUUUUCCACUAAUCGACAUCUUGGAAUUCCUCUUUUAGCCACUCAUCUUCCUUAUUCUUUCUUACCCAAAUCUAUAAUUGAUUCUGGUUGUAAACUUAUUUACAUUUGCAGGGACCCCAAAGAUACAUUUGUUUCAUUGUAUCAUUUCAUUGCAGGGCACUGAAAAUCCCAAAAAACUCAACCCAUUCAACUUGAUUAAGCAUUCGAAUUGUUUUAUGAAGGUGUAAGUCUUGAAGGUCGAUAAUCUAUUCAUCAUCCAUUGUUCACUUAAACAUCAUCAGAGUUCGUAAUUAUCUCUUUUAAUAAUAUCACUUUCAAAUAAGGUCAUUUUGGUCGGGAUUUGUAAUUAUCCCGUUUAAUAAUAUUGAUGGGUAUUAAAUCAUUGUACUAUUCCUUUAAUCUUUAGUUGAAGCUCGUUGGUUGAACUUUAACAAUUUUUAAAUAAUUUAAUGAUUUAAAUGAAAAUUUUCGAAUAACGGUCAGAUUUAACAUGUUGAUAAUAAAUAGGGGCCCACUUGUGGGUUGGGUUGGUAAGAGAUAGGAUAAACUUACUAAUUGACCAAUAAUUUUGUGCCAUGUCACCACCAUUACACAAAAAUUAACAAUUUUAUCCUAAACAAAUAUUUCUCAUAAAAUGAUUCUACAAACACAAAUAAUGUGUCUUUUUAGGUGUAUUGGUGUAAUUUUGGUCAAUUUUAUUUUAGCCCCUAUAUUAUGUGUAAAUUGCAUAUUUAAUCCCUAAAGUUUAACCUAGUUCAUUUUUAUAUGUGCUUUUUGAAUUUUGAAAUUUUAAUAUUAACUCAAAUUAUAUCAGUUAAAUUUAUUAGUAGUCUCAUAUUAUCCAUAAGUUGUUGAUUUAAUCUUUGUUCUUCAGUUACCUUAUUUUUAGUCUCUAUACUUCUUGAAUUUUGAAAUUUCAAUUUAGUAGCUGUUAGUGACGGAUCGUGGGGUCUUCAAAAAUUAUGUGAGACUAAUGAGAUUUUACGGAACUUUUCUGAGAAUUUAAUUGAAAUCUUGAAAAAAAAAAAGAGAAGAGAGAGACAAUUUUUCAAAAAUUUAGGAGACUUAAUUAAUUCUUUUUUAAAAAGAUGGUGAUUAAUGAAAAUUUUCAAAAAUUUGAGAGUGGGGCAAUGGCCAAGGCUCCCCUCGACCACUAUUAAUAUUCAUCGUUGGUGGCCGUUACAUCUAUUAACUAAAACAAAAUAGUUUUCUUUGUUAAUAUUAUUUGAAAUUAGCAAAAUAAUGUGACAUUGCACAUGGAAUUAUAUGUCUACGAUAUAAGCUUUGAAAAUAACAUGAUUUAACGACUACCAUUUAUGUCAAAAUUGAAAUUUUAAAAUUUAAAAUAUAUAAAAUUAAAAAUAAUCAAAUUAAAGUACAUAAAUUAAAUCCACAACUUACUCAUGAUACAAAAAUUAAUAGCCAAAAUUUAACUUUUUCGAUUGAUAUCUUGAAUUAUAAUAACACAUUAAAUAUUUGUAAGAAGCUAUAGUAAUUUAAUUUGCAAUGAUAUGAUAAAACUUGAUUAGCUAUAUACAAAAUUUAAUAAAUAAAUAUGCAUUAUAAAAUGUUAAAAAUAAUGUAAGAAAAACGUUUUUAUUUACUUAAAUAUUAUAAUUUUUUAUAUUUAUUAGAUUUUUUUUUUCUAAAAAUUAUUUUUCACAAUACGAAUAUUUCAAUACUCGUAUAGUCAAUUUAAAGUUGUGUCAAAUCACCACUGCUUAAAGGUACAAUCAAUGACAUCUCGAGGUAUUGAAUUCAAGAGUUUGAACUUUGACUAGAAAAUUUAUUUAUCCGUUGUCUUAUUAAUAAGUGGAAUUGUGGAAGUAUAUGAGGUUUUUUUUAUCGAAAUAACAUAAUAAUAAUAAUUAUUUAUUGAUAUGGGAUAAUUUAAUCAUUAUUUACAAAAACGAGGCAAAAGCAAUAGUUUGAUAAAUUGUGUCGCUUGAGCAAUGGACAAUACCACACUCAACUAGCAACAAUCAUUAGGUCAUUGGUUAGAUUUAAAAAAAAAAUUGUACUGGCUGAGCAAUCGAUGGUAUCGAUAUGUAUUGACCAGAAAAAUACAAAUAUUUUUGUACGAACGAAAACAAUAUAACUUUCUAAUGGUGUCACUGACGUCUUAGGCGUCACCAAUAUAAAUUAAUAUUUAAUUACAUUUUUUUAAUUAAUUGAAACAGAUGAAAAAAAGCUUGAAAAUCGAAAGGUAGAACUUGUGACUGACCGGUCACAUUGCUUGAAUGUCGUCUUGCUCCCCCAACCCCUACAUAAACGGUAAUAAUAAUAAAAGUCCCCACCCACAAAAAAAAGGAGUUAGGAUAAAAAAUUGAGUUUUUGUUUGGAGGUUUGAGGAAAAAAGUUAAAAGAUUAUUAAGUUAUGUUAAUUAUUUUUUGUAAUAUUAAAUAUUUUAAUUUUUUAUUUACUUAAAUAUUGUAUUUUUUUAUAUUUAUGAUAACCUUUUUUUUUUCAAAUGUUAUUUUUCAAAAGACGUUAUAUUUCAAUACUCGUAUAUUGAAUUCGAAGUUUUAUCAAAUCACCACAUAUUUAAGAAUUCAAUAUUGUAAACUACAAUUAAUAGUACCUUUCAAGAGUUUGAAUUUUGAUUAGAAAAUUUAUUUAUCAGUUGUCUUAUUAAUAAGUGGAUGUUGGCUCCCAUGAUUAUUUUAAAAAAUGAUAACUUAGAAGAGGUCAAAGCCAUGGAAGAUGGGCAUUUGGCUGAUUCAAACUCCGCCUUGGUUAGAAGGAUUCAACAUAUUUUAUAAAAUUAAGGGCAAUGGUUGUUAAGGUAUGCCUCUAAGAGGGAUAAUCAAGUUGUUGAUUGCCUUGCCAAAUUGCCCCUAGGGCACUUAGUAGUUUUAUCUUCAGAUAGAUCGAGUGGCUCCUUUACCCCUAGAAGCUUGAUGUAGGGUAUUAAUGUAAUUAAUGGGUUUUUAUUAAACCAAUUUUUUUGAAAAAAUACAAAUAUACAUUGAUAAAUAUAUUACAUUUAAAGCCCCAUAUCCAACACUAUGUAGAUAGAUAAAAGUCAUAAAAAGUGGGUAAAUAUAAUAAUAAUAAUUUUUUAAAAUAUUAACUUACUAAUAGUUUAGUGACCUUGAGUAUAAUUUACCCAAUUUUAUGAUUUUGUAUAUGAUUUUUAAUUAAAUUAUUACUAUUGGAGCUCAAUAUCUGAUUGUAAUUUUUAACUAAAAUAUGAUUGAAUACAUUAAAACACCAUCAUUACACAAGAAUUAACAAUUUUAUGGUAAACAAUUUUUUCUCAUAAAACGAUGGUUUUUUUAUUAAAAUAGUAUAAAAAAUUAAUUACAAAAAUAAGAUAGAUUGUAGAUUAAUUAUAAAAAUGGUGCAUUUUCUACAAUAAAAUAUAGAUAACAUUCUUUAUUACAGUUUUAUUUGUCUAUCAAGAUUUUAUCUAUUUUAAAAAGGUGAUUGUUAUGCCAAAACCCUUCUACUUUUCGGGUCGAACCAGAUGGCCCGACCCCUGGACAUAUCUACAUAUUUAUCCUGGCCAGCAACAUUUGUUUUUCUCUCUCCCCAAGAUUUUUCCCUUUCCCUGGCAUAUAUUUCUUUCCUUUCCCAAAAGUUUUUCCCUUUCCCCAACUCCCCAACCCAUGAACGAUUAGUCAUUUGGUGUCGCUCAUCUCUCUCCCUUUACCCCACCUACCAUGAUACAACUCCCCAUAAAUUUAUUUUGAAUUAAAUUAUCGUAUAUGAUCUUUUUUUACUGAGUUUUUGCAUAACUCGAAUAUUGGUGCCGCCUCUGUCACACCCUUCACCCUUAAAAUAUAUAUAUUUUACCCCAUAUCAUUUUAUAAUGAUGUUUCAAUGAUUAAGUCACAAAAAAAAAUGGUUCCACAUUUUCCAUGCUCUCCACCCCUAACUCUAUUGCAAACAAAUCAUUUUGGUAAAUAAUUGUAUUGGCAUACUAUUAUGGUAUUUAAUUAUUUAUUUUAUACCUAGGUAAAAAAGCCACAAUAUUAUUUAACCACAUGAACAAUAUAAUAGUUUUGACUUUUAACUUUAAAAAAGAUAAACAUUUAUCAAAACGACGUAAUAACUCAAAUUGUGCAUUUCAUAUUUGAGUUAAACUGAAAAUUUUGAUUUUUUAUUCGAGUUGAGCUGAAUAACUCAAAUAACUCGAAUUAUUUAAACCAAAAUUUAAAUUUUUUUAUCGAAUCAAAUUUUACUCAUCCUUAUAUUAUAAUAUAAAAAAAUAAACUCUUAUAUUCGCAAGGGCUUCAAAUGAAGUUGGGUAGUACUAUUUGGAGCAUAAUACCAAUUGUCGAAACCAUUUUUUGGAAACGGAGUCGAAUUUGGUUUUGAAAACGAAAAUUGAAAAUAGGGAGUCGCCACCAAUCUUUUUUACUUAGGUGUGAUCGGAUCACCUAGAAAUUUGGUCAUUUUAAUAAAAUAUUUCAAUUUACUAAAACAACGAUUUUGGUCUACGAAAUUUGAGAAAACAGGUUCGGGAUUCGGUUACGUACGAGGAAGGAUUAGCACCCUCGUAACGCCUAAAAUUGGUACCUAAUUGAUUAAUUAAUGUCUUAAUGUCGAAAUUUAAAAACUCGAAAAGAAUUAAAAAUAUGAUCCUCUCUUUUAAUGUUGAUUUUUUUACGAAGAAUUUGCUUGCGUAAAUCGAAACGGAUGUUAAAGACCUUUUUGUCCCGAAGUAAUAAAAUAUCACACCCAGUAAGUUAGGACACAAUAUUUUAAAACCUCGAGAAUAAGCUUGUCUUUUGAUUUUCAAAGUUCAUGCGUUUUAAUUUCAAAAGGUUAUUCGGUCAUUUGGGUCAAACGAAGAAAAUCGAAACCCAGCAUGUUAGGGCACGAUCUCUAGAAUCUCCAAACACGGAAUAUUGCCUUACUUUGAAAAUUUCUCUUUUUAAAUAAUUAUCAAACGUAAGUUUAAAACGACAUGGGCUUAUUUGAAAUAUAAUACAAAGACAACCGAUUAUAAUUAAACAUGGUGCGUGGGGUAAUAAUAAUGCAAUAAUAUAAAACAACUAUACGAGUUAAGUAUAUGAUAAACAAAUGAAUGUUAUGAUAAUACUAAUGGGCUAUAAUAGUCAUAGUAGCAUUAACAAACAAAUUACUAUAACGAAACAUAUAUAUGGAUAAAUAAGGAUGAAAUAAAUAAAUAAUAGAGAGAGCAGUAACGACAAAGUAACAAAUAAAUAAAUAUAAGAGCAAGGGUUUAAAAAUAUUAAUAGUAAAAAACCAAAUUAAAAAAAACAAAAUUUAAGGCGCAAUUUGUAACAAAACAUAUGUGCAAAAUAAUGACGAUGAUAAUAAUUGUAGAGGCCCAAUUUAGCCUGGGGGCCCAUAAACCAGAAACCAAAAUCAAAAAAUAAAAAUAAUAAUAGGAGCAGUCCAUAGCCUAAUAUGCUACAAGCCCAACUAGCGCAAAACUAUUAAAAACCCUAGGGGCCCAAUAGGCCCACUUCCUAAACUAGUUUCAACAAAGCUGAAAUCCUAACCCCUAUGUGCGCCGCCCCUCACGUGGUGUCAGCGCGUUCUACGCCUGAACAGACGCUCCAUCCCAUCGCUUUCGCUGUCACCUACAAACAAGCAAAGAAGAGGACAGAAAGGAAGCAAAGAGCAGUAACAAAAAGAAAAAAGAGAACAGUAGCAGGGAAUAUGUAUUCGGCUAUAUAGCCAGAGACAAAGAAAUGUAAUUUUUUACAGAAAAAAUAUUGGAGCAAUCGAAUACAAAAAAGAAGAAUCAAGGUGGUCUUUCAUCCUUUUUCAUUCCCUUCGCAAGCUUAUUUUCGAAUAUAGCACACAUAUAUACAUACAUAUAUUCAAAAGAAAAAAACGAUUUUCGUACCUUCUGUGAGUCAGGGAAGUCGGAACCGAAGGGUUCCCUUGGCUCUUUCCAAUUUUCUAGAGGUAUUUUUGUAGAUCUAGGGCGAGGGGAGCAAAAAGGGUUAAAAAAGGGUCGAUUUUAUACUUUUGGCUGCCGUAUACGGCGAUCGCCGGCGACAGAUGGACGGUGGCCCGAUCGUCGAAAAUCGCCCAGUCCAGAGCACCAAAACCCUCCCCCUUUCCUUUCUUUUUAUUUAAAAUAGCUAAAAUGUAUUAAAAAAAUGUGACUUAUAUAGGAUGGAAAAACGCACCGUUUUGCCCAGCCUCUUUAAAACGCUGAAACGGCGUCGUUCCAUGGUCAUGACCUGAGACCUGACCCAAGACAGCCUAGGAUCCGCGUGUUUUUGGACCAAAGGUCUAUUUGCGCCCUUGGUCCUUCCGCUUUUGAGGUUGUUUUAAUGUGGUUCUUUCCUUUUUUUCAAUUUCACCACAUUUUAUUUGCUUUAUUUCAAUUUAACCCUCGAACCUUUUCACAGGUCAACACCUGAAACAGUGUCAUUUUGGGACACGGGAAUAUUUCUCAAUUAGUCCCUGCCUUUUGUACUGGCAUUUGAUUUGGCCUUAUUCAUUUUUUUAUUCUUUUAAUUCUUCCCUGGAAUUUGCACACUUUUUCGAAUUGGUCCACGUUAAAACGGUUCGUUUCGAGGUUUGGUUUAUUUGCGUUUUUAAUCACUAUUAGUUUACGCGCAUUGCAUUAUAGUCCUUAAUGAUGUUUUGUAGUUUUAUUUGCUUGUAAAUUAUCCUUCACUUUAUUUUCAUUUCAAUCGGGUCCUUUUUAAGUUUUCUUUAUUUAUUUAUUCAUUUUAAUUAAUUCUUUAUAAAUUCAUUAUUUGUUUUAAUAUAUAUUGCUGGAAUCAUUAUUAUGAUUUAUUCUUGAACAUAUAUUUAUAUUUAUAUUUACUUUUAAAUCUAUUUAUAUAUAUAAUGUAUUUCUUUUAAAAAUCUUAUUUCACUGCAUAUAUAUAUUAUUUUUUAAAUAUUCUCAUCCAUUAUUAUUUUAUAUAUGUAUUAUUUAUAUUAAGUUCUUCACUUUAUAUAUAUUAAUGGUUGAUGAAUAAGCCUUGUUUUGAAUUACGUUAUGUAAUCAUUGAUCUUAUAUUAUAUAAAUUAUUAUUCAUAUAUAUUCUUUUGUAGAUUUUUAUAAGACUGUAUUUAUAUAAUUUAUGUUAAAAUUUUUUAAUAUGUACAAAAUUUAUUUUAAAACUUUCAUAUGAGCAUACAUUUUAAUUUUUAUGUGCAUAAUUUAUAUUAUAUUUUGAUGUAUAAAUCUUAGUUUUAAAUGGUUUUGUGUAGCACUAAUUUUAAAUUUCUUUGUAUGAUACUUAUUUUGAAGUUCAUUCAUAUGUUAAACUCUAUAUUUUAUGUAUUAUUUAUUUUUAUUUUUAUUUAUUUUACGAUCUAUUGUAAAUUUUUGCAUGUAUUAUUUGUUUAUAUACAUAGAAUUUAAUUACUUUUAAAUUGUUUGUUUUACCUUGUCGAUUUCAAGUUUAUUUGUUUUAACAUUGCUUAUUACCUUUUAAAAGUUUUUUUUAAAAUAGAUUUUUAUUUAAUCAUUAUUUAGAAACGUUAUAUAGUGUAUGUAGUAAGAUUAUUAUCGUUGGGCGUGUUUUGAUUUUCAUGUCUGUAUUUCUCAAUAAUUUGUAUAAUAUGUUAUUCAUGUAUGUUUUCCAUAUUUGUUAUUUUGUUUUGCAUUUCCAUGUAUUGUAUUAUUAUUGAGGUUGCCAACUUAUUUGCCUGAAAUUAUUCAUUUCAUUUUCUUUGCUUCAAACGAAUCGAAUAAAUAUAUUUCAAGUCUGUUUUCAUAAUUGCUUUUUUUUUUAAAAAUUCGCAAAGCGAGGUAAUAUUUCGUGUUUGGUAAUUCGAGAAAUCGUACCCUAACGUGUUGGGUUUCGAUUUUCUGUUUGACCGAAUAACUAAAUAUUCUCUCAAGAUUUCGUCUAUGUUUUCUUAAAUUAAAAAUAAGGCAAUAUUUUGAAUCUAGAAAAUUUGAGAAAAUCGUACCCUAACUUACUAGGUUUCGAUUUUUCUCGUUUAACCUAAAUAACCAAAUAUCCUUUUAAAAUUUAAAUACAUGAUUUUUGAAAUUUAAAAGACAAGCUUAUUCUCGAUAAAUUAAAAUGUCGUGUCCUAAUGCGCUGGAUGUGACAUUGUAUUACCUCGGGACAAGAAGGUCUUUAGCAUCCGCUUUGAUUUAUCCGAGCAUUUUUGUAAAAUUAACAUUCAUAAAAAAGGAUCGUAUUUUAAAAUGUAUUUUGAAAUCUUUUCAACUUUCGACAUUAAGACGUUAAUUAAUCGAUUAGGUACCAAUUUUGGGCGUGACGAGGGUGCUAACCCUUCCUCGCACGUAACCGACUCCCGAACUCGUUUUCUCAACCUUCGUAGACCAAAAUCAUUUAUUUUAAUAAAUCAAAAAUGUUUUAUUAAAACGACCAAAUUUCUAGGUGAUUCGAUCACACCUAAAUAAAAAGGAUUGGUGGCGACUCCCAUGUUCAUUUUUUCAUUUUCAAAACCAAAGUCGAUCCUCGUUUUUUCAAAAAAAUGGUUUAGACAAUAAUAAUAAUAAUAAACAUAUAAUAAUAGGAAUGACAAUAAUAAUAUUAUAAGUGAAAACCUAAAUAGUUUGAUUUAUAAAAGUAUACAAAGAAUGGGUAACAAAUAAACAAAUGAUUACAUAAUAAUAAUAAUAAUAAUAAUAAUAAUAAUAAUAAUAAUAAAAUCAACCCCUUUUUAACCCUUUUGCUCCCCUCGCCCUAGAUCUAGACUAAACAAAAAAGCAAAAAACACCUUCAGAAAAUCGGAAAUAGUAAAGGAACUCUUCGGUUCCGACUUCUCCGACUCACAAAAGGUACCAAAAAUUUUAUUUCUUUUGAAUGUAUAUAUAUAUGUAUGAGUGCUAUAUUCAAAAAUAAAUUUGCAAAGGAAAUGAAAAACCGAACGAAAGACCACCUUUUUUUUUUCUUUUGAAUCUGUUUUUGUUGUUUUUUUUAUUAAUCCUCAAUCUCUGCUUCUACAACCUAUUUUUUUUGGCUUUAUAGCCGAUUUUACAAUCUUUCUUGCUGCUGUUCAUGCUACUCUAUUCUGCUAUGCUAUUGUUUCCUUUUCUUUUGUUUCUUUGCUGUCAACUUUUUACUUUUCUAUCCUUUUUUUCGCUGUUUUUUCCUUUUUUUUUUGUUUGCGUGUUGAUUUAGCCUUGGCAAGUGUCAGAGGAGCACCAGAGGCGUAUGAGGCCAGUGAUGGCAGUGGAGGCGCAUACGGGGAGGGCUGAAGUGACCUGGUGCGGCGCCUAGGGUUUUCCCUUCCCUUCUUUUGCUGAAAAAUAUUUAGUGGGCUAGGGUUGAUUUAGGUAGUGGGCUGAUGUGGUUUUAAUUUUUUUUUGAGCUAUGGACUGUUAAAACUUUGGGCCUAUUGUAAAAACUUGGACUGAUAAAUUUCAUUAAAAGCCCGGGUAAAAUUGGGCUAUUACACCAAUAAAGGCCCAUUUCCAAAAUUAUUUAUGGAAAUAGGUUGCUUCUAAAAAUAAUUAUAGGUAUAGAUUGAAAAUCCAAAAAUGCACUGACAAGGACACGUUUUUCCUUGUGUCAAGCAAAAGCACGCUGACAUGGAUGCAAUUUUUUGAAAAUUUAUGAGAACAAGUCAAUAUAAAGACCCAAAGUGGCAACACUAUUUUUUUGUGCCAUCAAUUAAUGUGGAAAUAAAACUUACAAAACAUAUCUUUACGUAGACCCAAAGUCUUAUUUCCCUUAUUUUCUUAAGCAAUGUGUAAUGUAAGAUAUGUGUUUAUAUAGAUUCAUGAAUAAGAUUGCAACUUGUUCUUACAUAAUGUGGAAUUCCUUCCUCUUUUAACUAACAACUUAAUGCUACACUAUAUUUUAUAUCUUUUUACAAAACAAAUUCUAUUUUUUUUUAUUUUGUUAAAAUUUUCUCAUAUUAUAAAAUCACCUUUUGAGGUUUUUAAUCCUUAUGCAUUUUAGGAUUGUUAGCAUAUACAAAAUGACCAUAAUAAAAAAAGAAAAAGGAAUACCAAUUGCACAUAUGAAACUUGUAUAUGCAAUAAUCUUCUAUUCAAUUUUAAAUGUUUGAAGUUAAUAUUCAUGCAAUUCUAUUUUUUAAAAAUAAUUUUCUAUUAUUUCAAUUUAGAAGUUAUACAUAAAAUAUGAUAACUAUUUUUCAUAUUUUUAUAUCUAGAUUAAAUUACAUUAGUAGUUACUUAACUAUGAUUUUUUUACUAUUGAAUUAUAAAAGCUUACAAAAUGAUCACUCAGCUAUUAGUACUACUUUUUGGUCACUCAAUUAUCUUGAAUUUUGAGGGAUGUAGCAAAAAGAACAAGAAGAAGAAGAAGAAGAAGAAGAAGAAGAAGAAGACAAAUUUGAAUAAUUUAAUGAUAAUUUUGUAACUUUUUAUAAACAAAUUAUUCAAAAAAUAUAAUUAAAUGACUAUUUUAUAACUAUUUUAUAAAUAACUAUUUUAAAUAUUUUUUUAUUAUUUUACUAUACUCAUUAAUUUUUUAAUCCUACAAAGUUUUUAAAAAAGAGAUAUCAAUUUUUUAAAAUUACAAAAAAAAAUAUACAAUCUGAGUACCAAACAAUUUUGAAAUGCAACAAAAUUAAAGAUCUCAAAAGAUAAUUUUAUAAUAUAAGAAAUGUUAACAAAAUAUAAAAAAUAGAAAUUAUUUUGUAAAAAAUAUAAAAUAUAGUGUAGCCUUUAAUAUUAUGUUGUUAGUUAAAACAGGAUAGAAUCCCACAUUGCUUAGGAAUAAGCUGCAAACCUAUUCAUGGGUGUAUAGCAAAAUUUAUUUUGUAAGUUUUAUUUUUCACAUUAAUUAGUGACAUCAAAAAAUUUAAAAAAAUAAUAUUUUCAUUUUCGAUUUUUAUAAAGGCUUAUUCUCAUAAUUUUUAAAAAAAACUUAGUCUAUCUUGAUAAUACUUUAAAAAAUAAUCUUUAUUGAGAAUUUAGUUUGAAACAUAUUCAUCAGCGUGUUUUUGAAUUUUCGAUUCAUAUCUAUAAUUAUUUUUUGGAGUGGUCUAUUUCCCUAAAUAAUUUUGAAAGGUGAGGCAUCGGGUGUGCACUUGAAUGGAUGGGUCGACCAGCUCUGCCCUGUCUUCAAGUCCUUACGAAUGCGUGUUAAGUAGGGAGAAUCAAUGGAGAAUGAGACAGCGUGCAAACUGCGCAGUUUCAUUUUUGUUGAUUGGGGAAACAGAGAUAAUGAUGUUUUUCUUUUUCUUUUUCUUUAUAUUUUCAUUUUAGUAUUUCUUUAUAUAUUAAAAAAUAUCAUUCCAUCCACUGCCUCCUUAUAAAAGAAAAAGAACAGUGGCAGCCUAUUUACAAAGCCAUCGUUGUAGAAUAUAGUAUUUGCACUCGUUAGCCUGUCCCUUAUGGAAUCCCAUAUUGAGAAACAAGAUGGAGAUGUGCUUCAAAAAUCUUUCAAAGAUAUGAUAUCUACUCUCCCUAAAGGGAAUAGUUGGGGUUUUCUUGGAGAUGUAUAUCAAUAUCAAGGUUUUUGGUUCUCCCCGCCAUUUCUACAAGGAGCAUUGUUGGCUCAACAACAGUUCCAGGCUCAACCCACUGAUAUCAUCCUUUGUAGCUCUCCAAGAACAGGCGCAGCUUGGUUAAAAUCCCUCACUUUCUCCACUAUUACAAGAACCACAUACGAUGAUUCCACCACCCCUUUGCUUUCCAAGAUGCCUCAUGAUGUUGUGCCUUACAUGGAGUUCGAUCAUAUCUAGUUUUCCACUAAUCGACAUCUUGGAAUUCCUCUUUUAGCCACUCAUCUUCCUUAUUCUUUCUUGCCCAGAUCUAUAAUUGAUUCUGGUUGUAAACUUAUUUACAUUUGCAGGGACCCCAAAGAUACAUUUGUUUCAUUGUAUCAUAUCGUUGCUAGGUACAACAAAUCCCAAAAUACUCAACCCAGUCAACUUGAUGAAGCGCGUUUCAAGAAGGCGUCAGUCAGUUUGGGCCUUAUUAGGACCAUGUUUUAAGGUACUGGAAAGCAAGUUUGGAACGUCCAGACAAGUUAAUGUUCUUGAAAUACGAAGAUUUGGCUGAAGAUACUGUUUUGUAUCUUAAGAAAAUAGCAGAGUUUAUGGGUUAUCCUUUCUCAUCAGAGGAACAACAACAAAAUGUGCCUGAAAACAUUGUGAAGAUGUGCAGUUUCGACAAUUUAAGUGGCUUGGAAGUAAAUAAAACCGGGAGACAUCGUGAAGGGUACGAAAAUUUGAGGAUAGAAAAUAACAUUUUCUUUCGGAAAGGGAAGCCUGGAGACUGGAAGAAUUAUUUGACCACUGAAAUGGCUCAACGUUUAGACCAACGAACAAUGCAAAAAUGGAGCAGUUCAGGUUUAAGUCUGUAAUUGAAGGUCGAUAAUCUAUUUAUCAUCCAUUGUUCACCUAAACUGGAUCAUAGUUCGUAAUUAUAUCUUUCAAUAAUAUUAUCUUCAAAUAAGGUUAUCUUGGUCGGGAUUUGUAAUUAUCCCAUUUAAUAUUAUUGAUGGGUAUUGAUCUAUUGUACUAUUCCUUGAAUCUUUAGUUGGAGCUCAUUGGUAGAAUUUUAUCAGUUAAAUGACUUAAAUAAAUAAAAGUUUUUAAAUAAUUUAAUGAUUUAAAUGAAAAUUUUUAAAUAACUCAAUGAAUAUUUUUCAAAAAUUAAAAAAAAAAGGCAUAAUGGGAUUUUUAAAAAAAAAAACUUAGGGGAACUAAUUAAAAUUAAAAAAAACUAAUUUAGUAAGAAUUUUUUAAAAAAAUUAGGGUCUAGUCAAUAUUUUUAAAAAUUAUGAUUUUACGAAACUUUUAAGAGAAUUUAAUUAAAAUGUUUUAAAAAAUAAAAGACAAGAAUUUCUAAAAAUUUAGGAGAUUUAAUUAAUUCUUUUUAAAAGAGUUAGUGGUUAAUGAAAAUUUUCAAAAAUUCGAGAGUAGGGCAAUGUCCCAAGGCUCCCCUCAACCACCAUUAACAUUCGCUAUUGGUGGCAGUUACAUCUAUUAACUAGAACAAAAUAGUUUUUUUUUUGUUAGUAUUAUUUAAAAUUAGUAAAUUAAUGUGACAUUGCACAUAGAAUUAUAUGUCUAUGGCAGAAGCUUUGGAAAUAACAAGAUUUAACUUAACGAUUUAAUAAUUACUAUUUUGGUCAAAAUUGAAAUUUCAAAAUUCGAAACAUAUAAAAUUAAAAAUAAUCAAAUUAGAACACAUAAAUUAAAUCCACAAUUUACUUACGAUACAAAAAUUAAUAGCUAAAAUUAACUUUUUUUUCAAUUGAUAUCUUGAAUAUCUAUUUAUAAUAACACAUUAAAUAUUUUUAAGAAGCCAUAGUAAUUUAAUUUACAAUGAUCUGUUAAGACUUGAUUAGCUAUAUACAAAAUUUCAUAAAUAAAUAUGCAUUAUAAAAUUUUAAAAAUAAUGUAAAAAAAAACUUUUUAUCUACUUAAAUAUUGUAAAUUUUUAUAUUUAUUAUAACGCUUUUUUUUCCAAAAAUUAUUUUUUACAAUACAAAUAUUUCAAUACUCGUAUAUUCAAUUCAAAGUUUUGUCAAAUCACCACUGCUUAAAAGUACAGUCAAUAAUAUCUCGAGGUAUUGAAUUUUUUACUAGAAAAUUUAUUUCUCCAUUGUCUUAUUAAUAAGUGGAAUUGUGGAAGUAUGUGAGGUUUUUUUAUUUAAAUAAUAUAAAAAAUAAUUAUUUAAUGAUAUUGGAUAAUUUAAUCAUUAUUUACAAAAUGAGGCAAAAGUAACAGUUGACAAUCGGUGUCACUUAGCAAUUGACAAUACCACGCUCACCUAGCAACAAUCAUUAGGUCAUUGCUUAGAUUUUCUAAAAAUUAAUUUUUUUCGUGCUGCCUGAGCAACUGGCGGUAUUAGUAUGUAUUAGCCAAAAAAAUACAAAUAUUUUUGUACGAACGAAAAAAAUAUAACUUUUUAAUACUGUCACUGACGUGUCAUACGUCACCAGUAUAAAUUAAUAUUUAAUUAUAUUUUUUAAAUUAAUUGAAACAAAUGAAAAAAAGCUUGAAAAUUGAAAAUUAGGUAGAAUCUGUGACUAACCGGUCACCUCGGUGCAAGUCGUCAGGCCGAUGUCCCUAUCCUUCCCCAACCCCUACAUAAACGGUAAAAAAAAAGUUCCCACUCACAGAAAAUUGAGUGUUUGUUUGGAGGUUUGAGGAAAAAAAACUAAAGAUUAUUAAGCUAUGUUAAUUACUUUUUGUAAUAUUAAUAUUUUAUUUUUUUAUUUAAUUAAAUAUUAAGUGUUUUGUAAUUUUUUAUUAAGAUUAUUUUUUUUCCAAAAGUUAUUUUUCAAUAGACAAUUAUAUUUCAAUACUCGUAUAUUGAAUUCAAAGUUUUAUCAAAUCACCACAUAUUUAAGAGCACAAUAUUGUAAACUACAAUUAAUAGUACCUUUCAAGAGUUUGAAUUUUGAUUAGAAAAUUUAUUUAUCAGUUGUCUUAUUAAUAAGUAGAUGUCAACUCCCAUAAUUAUUUUAAUAAAUGACAGCUUAGAGGUGGUCAAAGUCAUGGAAGAUGGGCAUUUGGCUAAUUCAAACUUCGCCUUGGUUAGAAGGAUUCAAAAUAUUUUACAGAAUGAAGGGCAAUGGCUGUUAAGGUGUGCCUCUAGGAAAGAUAAUCAAGUUGUUGAUUGCCUUGCCAAAUUGUCUUCUGACAAUAAGGAAUGUGUGUAGGUCUUCGCUAAGGUCCCUAGAAUCUUAGUAGUUUUAUCUUCAGAUAGAGUGAGUGGCUCCUUUACCCCUAGUAGCUUGAUGUAGGGUAUUAAUGUAAUUAAUGAAUUUUUAUUAAACCAAUAUUUUCGAAAUAAAAAUACAAGUAUACAUAGACAAAAAUAUUACAUUUAAAGCCCUAGAUUUAACACUAUGUAGAUACAAAAAAGUCAUAAAAAAUGGGUAAAAAUAAAAAGAAAUGAUUUUUUAAUAAAACCCACUUAUGCAUUAAAAUUGAAGAAGACAAGUUACACCCUUCCAUACAUGUAGCCUAUCUAUUGGCCACCUAAAUGGCUACUGGGAUUUUGCGAAACAGUUGGAAAAUUAAACAACACUAGAAAUAAAAACCACAAAAGGAAACCAACAAUCAAAACAUGAAAAUAAAACCCCCUAGAUCCCAAAUUUCUUCUCCAAAACAUUUAACCCUCAUGAGCACCAGUAGAUUGCAAGGAACCCAGGCCAAAAGAAUAUAUUCCGAUGCUAGUAGCUUGGAAAUCCUCUCAAUCGACCUUGAUUUCAUUAGACAUCCUCCUCUUAUGCUCCGGACUCAGCCAUCAAUCUCGGUCAAUUCUUCCACUCCCCCUCCUGUCCACACAACAACAAUCCUUUCUACCUCCCUAAAAACUUCCUUUAUCCAAUACAUUGUCCGAUCGUGCUUCCUACCCUCCAUUGACAUCACAUGUGUCGCCUCAUUCACUUCUCUAAGUACGAAUCUGAACUCUACAAUCCUAAAUCUACUGCUUCUCCCUUUAAUUUCUGAAAUGAUAGUACUGAUUCUUGAUUUGUCCUCCUCUCUCGAUUCCAGUGUCCAAAUGAUGGUCAAAGCAUCCCCCUCAAUGCAUACAUCUUGAAACCCUAACUCUUCCACAAAGGCGACCACCUUCAAACAUGCUCUUGCCUCCGCCAUGGUCAGGUCCACAACAUUCUCCUACGGGUAAGUGCACGAGACCAUAACCAAACCCUCCUUAUUUCGUGUUGUAAUAUCCGAAUGUGAGAUAAACCAUAAUAUAUACAUAUUUUUACCCCAUGCUUGGUGUAUUUAUGGAGGAUUUUUCUUUGGUUUCAUUGAAUUUGAUGCUCCUAAUCCUUUAAAUUCAUGUUUUAUACUUAAGUGAGCAUAGGAAGGCGAAAAGAGCAAGAAACGGGCCAAAAACGGACCAAAUGGGCCUAAAUCAGUGUUUCACACUGCCUAGGCACUUCCACACGGGUAAACCACACGCCUGUGUGUCAUGGCCGUGUCGACUAGAAACCAACUCAGAAUUACACACGGCUUGAGCACUUUCACACGGGCGUGGCACACGGCUGUGUCCCUGUUAAACCUAAGUCUAAUUCUAUUCGAAAAAGGCUAAUUUUGGGCUAUUUUGGGCAUUUCAAAGUCUAUUUAAACACCCUAGAAGAGGAUUAAAGGAGACACGCAGGUAGAAGGCAGGAAAUACCUAAAGAUAGCCAUCGAAAGCAGGAUCUACUUCAAGACUGAAGAUCUCCAUUCAAUUUCCUUAGAAGUUCUUUGGGUUUCUUUAUGUUUUUUUUUUGUUUUUCCAAUUUUGAGAUGUUUUCCAUUAUUAUGAACUAAACUCCAUAAAUACCUAAGGGAGAUGAAACCUAAGACGAAUCUUAUUACUAUUUGAAUUAUAUGAUAAAUACUUGUUCUUAUUCUUAAUUGUGAGUUUUAAAUCCUUGUUUUAAUAUUCCAGGAUAUUAAUUCAAGUUUUGAUGUGCUUAUUCAGUGAAGCAAAAAUCCCUAUUUAAGAGUAGAUCUCCAUAAUUAAGCGGAGUUGCAUGCAAUCCUAGAGAUAGGACGACAUAAAUCUGCCGGAUUAGAGUCAAAUCUAAUAAGGGAAUCCAUAAAUCGUGUUAAUGCGACAAUAGGGGUUUUAAUUAGAAAGAGAUUUCAAUUAAUCAAGCUAGAGUUAGUUGUUUUUAGUCUCAAGAGAGAUAUUAACAUAAAUCAAGGAUUUCUACGGAUUAAGUCAAGUGAAUAAAUCGUCUAAUUCAGAAGUAAUAAGUGAAGUCUAGGUGAAUUCUUCCUUGGGUAUUGUCUUCUUCAUCGGUUUUCUAAAAGUAUUUUACAGCUUUAAUCUCUGUCUUAAUUUUAGUUAAUUAAAUAAUUAGUCUUAGUUUCAAACCUCCCUUAAUUAUUAGGCUAGAUAAUAAAAAGAUAGUAAUUACUAAUACUCUUAGUCCUUGUGGAUACGAUAUUUCCGGUCUCACCAUAACUAUACUACUAUUCGAUAGGUGCGCUUGCCUUAGUCAAAUUUUUAGUUAGUUUAGCGACCAUCAAUGUGAUAAUCUCAACUGUUGGUGAAAAGAAUUAUCAAAAUUAAAUUUGAUAAUCUCCCCCUCUAGUGGCUCCCAACUAGUAGGCCUUGAUAUAUGCAUAGGACAAGAAAGAUCAUUUAACUACUCUAUUUCUAGCAUGUAUAAACCCGAUAACAUCUUGGAUUCGAUCCCUAACCCCAUCAUGGUAAAGGUAAAGUUUGUUACGGUUAUGGAAGAUAGCCCAAAAAGAAAUAGCAAGCAAUCUACAUACCAUUAUACUGCAUUUCAUUACCUCCUCCUUUAACCAUUGUUUCCAAUUUUGUUGCAUGUUUACUGCCGAAAGCUUCACCCUAAUUCCCUCCGUCACUUACUUUGAGAAGGCACAAUCACUAAUGUAAAGGCCCAAAUUUGCCCUGGGCCCAACAAGCCCAAAUUAGACAAAAAAAAACAAACAAAACAAAAAAACCAAUCAAAAUUACAGCCCAAAAAUUAAAACCUAUAUCAGACCCAAAACCCAAUUUACAAACCCUAACAGCCCAAGCCCACAACAUAAACAAAUUUUUCAGAAAGCAAACCCUAGCCUUUGACCUAGCUACGCAGCCGCUCCUCCCAUGUCAGCCCCCGUCCCAUCGCCCGUACCACCAACUCCUCUGCCACCCCUGCAAGGAAGAAAACACGCAACAACAGAGAGCAGUGGCUAAACGAUAGCAAAAUAGUAACCUAUAACAUGUAAAUCGGCUUUAAAAAGCCGAAUAAUGAAUGUAAAAUGGGGGAUUUUGGGAAUAAAAAAUCAAGAGAUUGUGAAUGUAAAAUCAGUGUUUUCAAACACAUAUUUGAAUACAAAAAAAAACAGCAAGCACUGAAGGAAAACAUACAUGUUUUCUCUAUUUAAAAAAAAAACAGUAUAUAUAUAUUUAUAUAUAAAUAUAGCAAAAAAAUAAAUAAAUUUACCUUUAUUCAAGCUGAUCCGAAUAAUUCAAAUAACUCAAAUAAUUUAAUUCAAAAUUUAAAUUUUUAUCAAAUUUUUUAAUUAAUUCGAAUUUUACUCAUCCCUAUAUUAUAAUAUAAAAAAAUAAACUCUUAUAUUAGCAAAGGCUUCAAAUGAAGUUGGGCAAUACUAUCUGGGGCAUAGUACCAAUAAAGGUUGAUUUCCGAAAUUAUUUAUGGAAAUGAGUUGCUUUUAAAAAUAAUUAUAGGUAUGGAUUGAAAAGUCAAAAAUGAGCUAACGAGGACACAUUUUUCCUCAUGUCAAGCAAAAGCACACUGACAUGGAUGUAUUUUUUAAAAAAAUCGACCAUAAUAAAAAAAAGAAAAAGAAGAACAAAUUGCACGUAUGAAACUUGUACAUGCAAUAAUCUUCUAUUCAAUUUUAAAUGUUUGAAGUUAAUAUUAAUGCAAUUCUAUUUUUUAAAAUAAUUUUCCAUUAUUUCAAUUUAGAAGUUAUACAUAAAAUAUAAUAAUUAUUUUUCAUAUUUUUAUAUCUAGAUUAAAUUACAUUAGUACUCACUUAACUAUGAUUUUUUUACCAUUGAAUUAUAAAAACUUACAAAAUGAUCACUCAACUAUUAGUAUUUUUUUUUGUCACCCAAUUAUCUUGAAUUUUGAGGUAUGUGGCCAAAAAAAAAAAGAAGAAGAAAAAUUUGAAUAAUUGAAUGACAGUUUCAUAAACAGAUGAUUCAAAAACACAUAAUUAAAUGACUAUUUUAUAACAUUUUAUAAUUAAGUGAUAAAAACUAUUUUCAAUAUUUUACUAUACUCAUUAGUUUUUUAAUCCUAAAAAAAAUUUAAAAAGAAAAGAUAUCAAUUUUUUAAAAUUAUAAAAAAAUAUACUAUCGGAGUACUAAACAAUUCUAAAAUGCAACAAGAUUAAACAUCUCAAAAGAUAAUUUUUAUAAUAUUAGAAAAUAUUAACAAAAUAUAAAAAAUAGAAAUUAUUAACAAUUUUUUAAAAAAAAUUACAUUGUGACACGAAAAAGGUACCUGGUGUCGGCCAUCUAUUGGCCAGCACAAAAAAAAAAAUUUACAUAUGUGGUGUUGGCCAUUACAUGGCCAUUACAUGUAAUUUUUAAAUAUAUAUAUAUAUUUAUAUAUAUGAAGGUGAGAGAAAAUAGCAAAGUGUGUGUUUUAAUUUUAUUUUUAAUAUAUAAUUACUUAUAUAACUCUAUUGAUAUUUUACUUUUGUUUAUUUGAUAUAUUAAGUAUUUGAUUAAAUUGAUGUCAUAAGUUAAUUGAGAUUUUUUUUACAAAAAUAAUAUAAAAAUAAUUAAUUAGAAAAAUAGGUUAGAGAAAAAUUAUUUACGAAAAUGUAUUGUUUUGAAUAAUCCUUGUCAGUACUACUUAACACACCGACGACACCACCCCAUUUUCCCAAUUCAUCAAACAAUUAUAAGUUUUUUUUUUAAUUGUUCCGCCAUAAUGUUAGGCAUUAUCGGUAGGUAUGUUUUGAAAAAUACCUAAGAAAAUACAAGUACACUGAGGAAUAAAUUUUUUUUUUAAUGAGUGUCGCUGAUAGCCUAACCUCACCACUUUAAUUGUAUUUUAAAAAAUUACGUCUUGGUUUGAGUACUUUUAAUGCUUUUAUUUUGUUAUUCAAAUUUCCAUGUUAAAAUCCAGCUUAUUUAAAUUUUGACAGGCAAAUUUAAUAGGAUUAAAAUUGUGGGAAUCAUAACUUUCUUCUUUUAUUUUUUUCUUUCUUUUUCUUUUCAUGUUGAAUGCUUCUAUUUUUUAUUUUAUUUUAUUUUUUUCAUUUUUCUCCUUAAUUGAAAACCCUAGUUGACAUACACGAUAGCCACCGAUUUUGGUGUUUAUUGUGGCCUUUUGUGCCAAUUUCAACACCAAAGAAGAGAUGUUCUCCUUUUCAUUAACUUCUACCGUGUAGAUCUCCCAGUCGUCGACUUUAAAUCUUCUAAAAUAAUGACCAAAGCUUCAAACUACUCUUUCUUCAAUCUCCAUUUUGCACUUUUGAAUCUUCACCAGUUGGAGAUAUAUUGUUCCCCAUAGUUAAACACACCACCUCACUAUUUAGAUCAUCGAAUGAAGUCACAAAGCUUUGAACCCAAACAGAGUCACGGGCUUCCACCACUAACACCCUAUUUUUUUGUUUUUGUUUUUCAUUUUAGACCACUUUUUUUAAAUAUAUUGAUGCCGUUUGACACAUCGAUGACACCAUUAAAAAAUAUUUUUUCAUUCUCUAGUAUACUUGCAUUUUUUCAUGUAUUUUUUCAAAAAUACAUACCGAUGCCACUUGACACAAUGACAGUACCAAAAAAAAUAUUUUUUUAAAAAGCUCAUGAUUGUUUGAUGUGUUUUUUAAAUAAAAAGCCCAUUUUCGUAAAUAAUUUUCCCUUAACCCAUUUUCGUAACUACUUUUUUAUAUUAUUUUUGUAAAUAAAACGUUAAUUGGACAUUAAUUGUAUUAUUUUAGGAUUUUUUACCCCAAUAAUACAAAAAAAUAAUUUAAUAACUUAAAUGGUAUGCCUACCAAAUUAUUUACCAAAAUGGUAUGGUUUGAAUAGUAACCUCAGGUGGUGCUUGAGAAGGUGGCGACACCACCUAACUUUAUCCCUAAAAUCAUGACACCAUCAUUAGGCCAUUAUAAGGUUAUAAAAAACAAAUAUUUUAUUGGUGGUGUAACACCCCUUACCCGUAUCAGAUGCCGGGACAGGGUACAAGGCAUUACCGGGCUUAAACACGCUUGAACAUCUUAAAUCGGGCCAUAGAGUUUCAUUCAAAUUUAAAAAUUUUUUAUUCAUAUUCAUAACGUCCCUAUCAUGGGCCUACGAGACCUUAAACAUACUUUGGAAGUGGUUCGGGACUGAACCGAAAACUUUCGAGUACUUAGAAAAUUUUUACUUAAAUUAACACCCCCGUGUGGGUAGGCUGUGUGGUCGCACACGCCUAUGUCGCUAGCCCGCGUGGAAUUUAUUCUCAUUUAGAACCUACAGGAGUUUUCACACGGCUAGGCACACACCCAUGUCUGAUGGUCGCAAAACUAACUAUAAAUUCGACUAAGGCAAGCGCACCUGUCGAACAGUAGUAUAGUUAUGGUGAGACCAGAAAUAUCGUAUCCACGAGGACUAAAAAUACUAGUAUUAACCUUCUUUUUAUUAUCUAGCCUAAGAAUAAGAGUGUUCGUUUUUAAACUAAAACUAAUUAAUUAAACUAAAAAUGCACAGAAGGUAAAUUGGGGAAAUACUUUUUGGAAAAACUGAUUGAUUUAGACAACACCUAAGGAAGUAUCUACCUAGACUUCACUUGUUAUUUAACUCUGAACUAGACGAUUUAUUCACUUGACUUGAUCCGUAGAAAUCCCUAAUUUAUAUUAUUAUCUCUCUCGAGACUAACAACGUCUAACCCUAGGUUGAUUAAUUGAAAUCUCUUUCUAAUUAAAACCCCUAGUGUUGCAUUAACUCGAUCUAUGGAUUCCCUUUUUAGGUUUGACCUUAAUUCGGCAGAUUUAUGUCACCCUAUGUCUAGGGGUGCAAUCAACUCCGCUUAAUUAUGCUAGAUCUACUCUUAGACAGGGACUUUUGCUCCUCUGAAUAAGCACAUCAAUACUUGAAUCAAUAUCCUGGAAUAUUAAAACAAGAAUUAAGAAAACAUAAUUAAGAACAAGUCAAAUAUUUAUCAUAUAAUUCAGAAAAUAAUAACAAGAUCCAUCUUAGGUUUCAUCCCCCUUAGGUAUUUAAGGGAUUUGGUUCAUAUGUGUAAAAGAAAACAUCUCCAAAGAAUAAUAAUAACAAAACAUAAAGAAAACCCAAAAACUCCUGAAGGAAAUUGAAUGGAGAUCUUCAGUCUUGAAGGAGAAUCCAGCUUCUAAGAUGGAUCAAUUGGCUUUCUUCGAGUAAUUCCUUACUUCCCACUUUGUGUGUCCUUUUUAAUCCUCCUCUAAGGUAUUUAUAUAGGCUUUCAAAUUCUUCCAAACCUUCAAAAGUGCCCUUUUCCGAAUAGAACUAGACUUGGGCUCGACAGGGACACGACCGUGUGCCACGCCCGUGUGGUGUGUUGCUUAGGCCGUGUUAGAGUCUGUUAAAUAGACACGGGCGUGUGGUCUACCCAUGUACGGAAGUCCAGGCCGUGUUGAUUUUCCAUGUUGACCCAUUUUCUCCGUUUUUGGCUUGUUUCUCGCUUCUUUUACUCUCCUAUGCUCACCUAAGUAUAAGACAUGAAAUUAAAGGAUUAGGAGCAUCAAAUUCCACAAAUCUAAUGAUAAUUCAUCCAAAAGUGUGCUAAGCAUGGGAUAAAAAUAUGUAUAAAUUAUGACUCAUCAGUGUCUAUGGCCCGUAUCCCUCACACGGCCAUGACACGCCCAUCUCUUCCACCAGUGUAACUCUCUAUUUAUGACGUCAUCACCCAAUAUGAGGCACACUAGCUCGUGUGGCGUACUUAAUUUUUCACAAAUUGGAUGCAGGGGACACACGGCCUGACUACACGCCCAUAGGGCGGACCGUGUGUCACACAUAGCCUAGACACACGCCUGUGUGUCUACCCAUAUGGUCAAAUAUAAGGCUAUUUACCAAGCUUUUUGCCACCCUGGAACAUAAUCAAACAUAAAACAAUGCCACCAACUUAUAACAAGGCAUAAACACACAUUCAAACUACCACGACAAGACAUCUAUAUGCAAAUUUAUCCAACAUUCAUCAUGCAUACAUAUCAUACCAUUUUCCACUUAAACAUGCAAGCUUGCACAUGAUUAAUUUCAUCAUAUUGAUCAAAUAUAACUUAACCAAUAUUGGCCCAUUUCCAAUGGCCAUAUACAAAAUGAAUUUAGUACCAUUACUAGCCAACAUAUUGGCUAACCAAUAUGUCAUUUAACAAAAUGACCAAGUUCCUAUAGAUGCCAUACUCAAAAUGAUCAAACUGUAUUAUACCAAAAGAAUGGCUUGAUAGUGUGAAUCGAGCUCCGACGUCCUUCGAUCCCCGAGCUAGCUUGGCGAAACUACAAGGAAAAGAAAAGAAAGGGGGUAAGCAUAAAUGCUUAGUAAGCUUGCAUGCAAUAAAUAUUAACAGAAAACUAGGAAUAACACUUACAUAAUUGGCAAGCACUCAUAGACAUGGCUUACUCAUGCUCUUCCUUACCGAUAACACAUAUUUUAUCUGGCUCAUUUGUCGUGAAUUUCUCAUUAGUACCUGUAUCACUCAUCACAUAACUUUAAUCUUUCUCAUCAUUAAAUAUUAACUGUAAUUCUUUUCCUCAUUGGAUUACUUACCGAAGGAUACUCAUAAUGUCAUUCACAUAAUAAGAUGCCAAUACCAUAUCCCGGAUAUGGUCUUACAUAGGAUCAAAUGUCGAUGCCAUGUCCCAGAGAUGGUCUUAUACGGGAUCUUAUCUCGAUGUCAAUGCCAUAUCCCAUAUAUGGUCUUAUACGAGAUCGUACGUUGAUGCUGACGCCAUGUCCCAAACAUGGUCUUACACGAGAUCGUAUAUCAAUGCCGACGCCAUGUCCCAGACAUGGUCUUAUACGGGAUCGCUAUUCGAUACCGAUGAUGAUGCCAUAUCCUAGAUAUGGUCUUACACGAGAUCUCAACUCUAUCCCGAUGCCAUAUCCCAGAUAUGGUAUUAUACGGGACCUUCUCAGUCUCAUGUCAUGAUAAUGGUAUCCUUUGUAUUCCUAAACUUAACCGAGAUUCCGAUUCAACAUAAUUUCAUCGUUUCUUUAUCAAUAUCUCAUUAACAAAUUUCAUGGAAAUAAUAUAGAUUUCAUGUCAGAACAAAACAUUGAAUGCAUGAUAACAUAGUAUAAAUUUAUUACACACAAACUUACCUCGGAUCCAAAAUACGGGUGAAUAUUCAAUUUAAUCCACCACCUUGUUCUUUCCCCGGUUUCGGUCUGGACUUCGUGUUUCUUGAUCUAUAAUGACAAAUUUCACUUAUUUAAUCAUCACAUUGACCAAAACAGUCUAUAGUUCAUACUUUGGAAAAAUUAUAAUUUUACCCUAGACUUUCACAUAUUUGUAAAAUGGUCUCUAGGCUUGUAUGAUGAAAUGUACUCGAUUUCUUGGUUACCCAAGCCUAGCCAAACCUUAUAUGCACUCAUAACAGCCCAGAUUUCUCAUCAAAUCAAAUUUUUACCACUACUUUUACAACUUUUACAUUGUGGUCCUUUUCAUGAAUUUCCAAGAAAAGUCACAUAGAGAAUAUGUUUAUCAUUCAUCAAACUUCCAUAUUCUUUCAUUAAACAUCAAAACACAUGCAUGUCUUGCAUGGACAUAUUUUUGAACAUGAACCCUAGCUUCAAAUAUGGAUAUAAAUAGCUAGUUCGGUUGAUAACGAUUUCAAAAAUACGAAGAACAUUAAAAAUAGGGCUAGAUUGCACUUACUUGUGAGCUUGGGAAUGAACAAAACCCUAGCUAUGGAGACUUAGGGAUUUUCGGCACACUUGGAGAAGAAGAUGAACACAUUUUUGCUUCUUUUUCCCUUUUUAUUUCAUUAAUUAACCAAAUGACCAAAAUACCCUUAUGGCAUUUUUUUGAAAUUUUCUCCUUCCUUGGGCAUUUUUGUCCAUCAUGCCAUAAAAUGGUCUAAUUGCUACAUAAGGACCUCCAAUCAUUUUUCUAAUGCUAUUUCAUCCUUAAAACUUCUAAAAACUCAUAUUUUGCAAUUUUUGCAAUCUACUCCUAAAGGACAAAUUAAUCACCUAUUCACAAAAUUUCUUUAUGAAAUUUUCACACAAUCAUGAAAUCACAUCAUAGACCUUAAAGAAAUCAUAAAACAUAUAUUUUUAUAUCGGAUCUAUGGUCUCCCAACCACUAUUCUGACUAGGCCCUAAUUCGGGCUGUUACAGGUGGUGUCACCCUAUAUGGCGACAUCAGUAUGAAGAAUAGCUGGGUAAAAUACAGGGAAAGUCAAGUGACACCAUUGUUUACAAAAAAUAGUAAAUCGGGACUGAGAAACAUGAAAAAUGGGAGUCAAAAGGGAAGAUUUCAAGCCUAAGGAAGAAGAAAAAUGGGUGACCCCGUGAUUCCGUGAUUGUUCAGUCAUGUUCGCCAUAGGCAGUCAAACCGGUGUCGCCUAACACAAAAUUUUGUAUUAUGUCCCUAUUUUUGUAUUCCUCUCAACCCACUAUAUAUAUAACAUGGUAAGCUAUCGGGUUUAUAAAACAGACAUUUUAAAAAAAAAAUUGUUUAUUUUUAAUUGAAAAAAACUUAGUCUAUUUCUGAAAAACAUAAGAGUUAAAAGAAAACCAUUUAAAGUCACAAACUUAUGUACAUAAGUUUACCUUGUUGGAAAAGCGAUUUGAAAAAUGCAGUUGAAAAUAAAUUUAGGGAAAAACCAAAGUUUUAAAAGUUUUCCAAAACAAAAUAAAUUUGUUUUUUUAACUGUCGGCUGUUUGUGUCAAAAUUUAGGGGUGGUGUCGUCUAUGCAUCACCCUCAACCACCCCAAGCAUCUCGUUUUUGUAAUUAAUCAAGGUGGUGUACCAUUUUAGAUAUUUUUAUAUUUCUUUAUAUUAUAUAUGUAAAAAAAACUUUGCCUAUCUCUCUCCCUCCACCUCACCUGCGACAUUACAAGUGCCCAUAAAUUUAUUUUGUAUUAAAUGACCGUAUAAGUUUUUUUAUCAGAUUUUUUAUAACAUGAAUACUGGUGUAGCCUCUCUCACAUCCUCCACCUUUAAAGUAUAUAUAUUUUACCCCAUAUCAUUUUGUAAUGAUGUUUUGAUGAAUAAGUCAGAAAAAAAUGGUGCCACAUUUUCCAUACUCUCUAUCCCAACACUGUUGCAAACAUACCAUUUUGGUAAAUAAGUGUAUUGGCAUGCGAUUAUGGUAUUUAAUUAUUUAUUUUAUAUUAUUCAGGUAAAAAAGCCACAAUAUUAUUUAAUUACAUGAACAAUGAUUUUGAUUUUUAACUUUAGAAAUCAUAAACAUUUAUUAAAAUGAUGUAAUAAUUCGAAUUGUGUAUUUCAUAUUUAAGUUAAACUGAAAAUUUUGAUUUUUUAUUCGGGCUGAUCCGAAUAAUUCAAAUAACUCAAAUUAUUUAAUUCAAAAUUUAAAUUUUUAUCAAAUUUUUUAAUCAAUUCGAAUUUUACUCAUCCCUAUAUUAGAAUAUAAAAAUAUAAACUCUUAUAUUAGCAAGGGCUUCAAAUGAAGUUGGGCAAUACUAUCUGGGGCAUAGCACCAAUAAAGAUUGAUUUAUGAAAUUAUUUAUGAAAAUGGGUUGCUUUUAAAAAUAAUUAUAGGUAUGGAUAGAAAAUCUAAAAAUGAGCUGACGAGGACACGUUUUUCCUCGUGUCAAGCAAAAGCACACUCACAUGGAUUUUUGUUUUAAAAAUCGACCAUAAUAAAAAAAAAAGAAAAAGAAGAACAAAUUGCACGUAUGAAACUUGUACAUGCAAUAAUCUUAUAUUCAAUUUUAAAUGUUUGAAGUUAAUAUUAAUGCAAUUCUAUUUUUUUAAAUAAUUUUCCAUUAUUUCAAUUUAGAAGUUAUACAUAAAAUAUAAUAAUUAUUUUUCAUAUUUUUAUAUCUAGAUUAAAUUACAUUAGUACUCACUUAAUUAUGAUUUUUUUACUAUUGAGUUAUAAAAACUUAAAAAAUGAUCACUCAACUAUUAGUUUUUUUUUGUCACCCAAUUAUCUUGAAUUUUAAGGUAUGUAGAAAAAAAAAGAAGAAGACAAAUUUGAAUAAUUGAAUGAGAAUUUUGUAACUUUUCAUAAACAGAUGAUUCAAAAAAACAUAAUUAAAUGACUAUUUCAUAUUAAUUUUUUAAUCCUAAAAAAAUUUAAAAAAAGAUAUAUCAAUUUUUUAAAAUUACAAAAAAAAUAUACUGAGUACUAAACAAUUAAAAAAUGCAACAAGAUUAAACAUCUCAAAAAAUAAUUUUAUAAUAUGAGAAAAUGUUAAAAAAAUAUAAAAAAUAGAAAUUAUUUUGUAAAAAUGUAUAAAAUAUAAUGUAGCAUUUAAUCUUAUAUUGUUAGUUAAAACAUGAUGGAAUCCCACAUUGUCUAGGAACAAGCUGCAAACAUAUUCAUGAGCCUAUAUAUACACGUAUCUCACAUUCUAUAUUAUUUAAGAAAAUAAUAGAAAUGACACUUUAAGUUUAUAUAAAAAUCUGUUUUGUAAAUUUUAUUUUUCACAUUAAUUGAUGGCACCAAAAAAUUUAAAAGAAUGGUGUUAUUACUUUGGAUUUCAUAAAUUUAAAAUAAAUUUAUUUAUUUUGUAAUAUUUUAAAAAUUACAUUUAUUAAAAAUCUAGUUUGACGUACGUCGAUCCUUACCAAUAAUUAUUUUUACAGUCGUUUAUUUCUGUGGUCUAUAUUCUCCAUCAUUGGUACUAUGCCCUACUAAGUGGAAAGUGACGCGGCUGUGCACUAGAAUGGAUGGGUCGAGCAGGUCUGCAAGUCCUUACAAAUUGCACACUGUCCAAUUUAAAUAAUUGAGAUAAUGAAGUUUUUCAUUUUCAUUUUCUUUAUAUUUUCAUUUUAGUAUUUUUUAUAUAUUAAAAAAAUAUCAUUUCAUCAAUGUAUCAAAAUAAAAAAAAUAACAUUGUGACACGAAAGAUGUACUUGGUGUCGGCUAUCUAUUGGCGAACACCAACAAAAAAAAUUGGUUUUACAUAUGUGGUGUUGGCCAUUACAUGGCUAACGCCCAAAUUUUUUUCAAGUACUGAUAUUUUUGUAUACUAAUAUGAUACGAUUUUAAAAGAAAAUACUUCGGUACCGGCCAUUGGGUUCUUAAAAUCUUAUUUUACUGUUCAUUUCAGGUUAUUUUGAUAAUUAUUUUUAAACUUAAAUCAUUUUUUUAAAUAUCAAUUUUUUUUGAAUUAUAUUGAUAAAAUAGCCUUGAUUGGGGAAAUAAUUGACAUAAUGAUGUUUUCCAUUUUUUUUACUUUAUAUUUUCAUUUUAGUAUUUCUUUAUAUAUUAAAAAAAAUAUCAUUCCAUCCCACUGCCUCCUUAUAAAAGAAAAAGAACAGUGGCAGCCAACUUACAAAGCCAUCCUUGUAUAAUAUAGUAUUUUAACUCAUUAGCCUGUCCCUCAUGGAAUCCCAUAUUGAGAAACAAAAUGAAGAUGCGCUUCAAAAAUCUUUUAAAGAGAUGAUAUCUAUUCUCCCUCAAGGAAAUUGUUGGGGUUAUUCUGAUGAUCUAUGUCAAUAUCAAGGUUUUUGAUUCUACCCAACUUUUCUACAAGGAGCUUUGUCGGCUCAACAACAAUUCCAGGCACAACCCACUGAUAUCAUCCUUUGUAGCUCUCCAAGAACAGGUGUAGCCUGGUUAAAAUCCCUCACUUUCGCCACAAUUACAAGAACUUCAUACAAUGAUUCCACCACCCCUUUACUUUCCAAGAUGCCUCAUGAUGUUGUGACUUUCAUGGAGUUCGAUCAUGCCCAGUUUUCCACUAAUCGACAUAUUGGAAUUCCUCUUUUAGCCACUCAUCUUCCUUAUUCCUUAUUACCC